rnacentral:lncRNA from 1 species
AACUGACAUUGGCAAUUUUGUAAUAUGUCUUAUUUCACACAUUUUGAUUGGUCUAACUGUAUGCUAUUUUGUGAUAACAAAGAUUUCCUCCCGCCCAGACCAUUGGUGUCAAAAAGUAUUUUUAGCCAAAAAAGUCAUAUACGACAUUUUAGAAGCCCAGCGACGAUAUGUCAAAUCAAUAUCUUCAAGCAUGAAGAAAAAACUCUGGAAAUCUUAUUUGCCGGACUGACGGAUGGACAGACGGACAGAGUGCAAACCUUAAGUCACCGUUCGACUUCCUCGGUAGGGGACUAAAAAGUAAGACGCCAAGGUCGAAAAUAGUUCUAGCUCAUAAUGAAGCAAGAAGGUCUCUGCACGUACCCGAAGUUUUUCACACUUUGUGGACAUAUGUUGCUGGUGGAUAAAGU